rnacentral:rRNA from 1 species
AGUUUGAUCCUGGCUCAGAUUGAACGCUGGCGGCAUGCCUAACACAUGCAAGUCGAACGGCAGCAUGAGAGAGCUUGCUCUCUUGAUGGCGAGUGGCGGACGGGUGAGUAAUGCAUCGGGACCUACCCAGACGUGGGGGAUAACCUCGGGAAACCGGGACUAAUACCGCAUACGUCCUACGGGAGAAAGCGGGGGACCUUCGGGCCUCGCGCGGUUGGACGGACCGAUGUGCGAUUAGCUAGUUGGUAAGGUAAUGGCUUACCAAGGCGACGAUCGCUAGCUGGUCUGAGAGGAUGAUCAGCCACACUGGGACUGAGACACGGCCCAGACUCCUACGGGAGGCAGCAGUAGGGAAUCUUCCACAAUGGACGAAAGUCUGAUGGAGCAACGCCGCGUGAGCGAAGAAGGUUUUCGGAUCGUAAAGCUCUGUUGCGAGGGAAGAACAAGUACGGGAGUAACUGCCCGUACCUUGACGGUACCUCAUUAGAAAAGCCACGGCUAACUACGUGCCAGCAGCCGCGGUAAUACGUAGGUGGCAAGCGUUGUCCGGAAUUAUUGGGCGUAAAGCGCGCGCAGGCGGCCUUUUAAGUCUGAUGUGAAAGCCCCCGGCUCAACCGGGGAAGGUCAUUGGAAACUGAGAGGCUUGAGUACAGAAGAGGAAAGCGGAAUUCCACGUGUAGCGGUGAAAUGCGUAGAGAUGUGGAGGAACACCAGUGGCGAAGGCGGCUUUCUGGUCUGUAACUGACGCUGAGGCGCGAAAGCGUGGGGGAGCAAACAGGAUUAGAUACCCUGGUAGUCCACGCCGUAAACGAUGAGUGCUAAGUGUUAGGGGGUUUCCGCCCCUUAGUGCUGCAGCAAACGCAUUAAGCACUCCGCCUGGGGAGUACGGCCGCAAGACUGAAACUCAAAGGAAUUGACGGGGACCCGCACAAGCGGUGGAGCAUGUGGUUUAAUUUGAAGCUACGCGAAGAACCUUACCAGGUCUUGACAUCCCGCUGCCCGGUGUAGAGAUACGCCUUUCCCUUCGGGGACAGCGGUGACAGGUGGUGCAUGGUUGUCGUCAGCUCGUGUCGUGAGAUGUUGGGUUAAGUCCCGUAACGAGCGCAACCCUUGACCUUAGUUGCCAGCAUUUAGUGGGGCACUCUAAGGUGACUGCCGGUGAUAAACCGGAGGAAGGUGGGGAUGACGUCAAAUCAUCAUGCCCCUUAUGACCUGGGCUACACACGUGCUACAAUGGACGGUACAGAGGGUUGCCAACCCGCGAGGGGGAGCUAAUCCCAUAAAACCGUUCCCAGUUCGGAUUGUAGGCUGCAACUCGCCUACAUGAAGCAGGAAUCGCUAGUAAUCGUGGAUCAGCAUGCCACGGUGAAUACGUUCCCGGGUCUUGUACACACCGCCCGUC